UUAUUAUGAGAGUUUGAUCCUGGCUCAGGACGAACGCUGGCGGCGUGCCUAAUACAUGCAAGUCGAACGCUUCUUUCCUCCCGAGUGCUUGCACUCAAUUGGAAAGAGGAGUGGCGGACGGGUGAGUAACACGUGGGUAACCUACCCAUCAGAGGGGGAUAACACUUGGAAACAGGUGCUAAUACCGCAUAACAGUUUAUGCCGCAUGGCAUAAGAGUGAAAGGCGCUUUCGGGUGUC
rnacentral:rRNA from 1 species